rnacentral:lncRNA from 1 species
CCCACAAAAAACUUUGAAUAUUAUGAUUAUCAUAUUUUCAAUGAGAAAGACUGCAGUUUUUACCAAUAAAAAUUAGUUUAUUUAUAGAUUAUAUUUUGCUACAUUGCAUUUAUCUAUCAAUUGUUGGACUGGGUCCAAUAAAUGCAUUUAUAUCUAACCAGUAUGUAUUUUCGGAAAAUUUCCUCUAAAUUUCCUCUUUUCGUUUUAACGAAUUACAUAACAGUCUUGGACAAGGAUUUCAAAUUGUCUAGAAAACCUUCAGAAUCUCUAUUGGACAAGUAAAGAGACGUUAUUUUGAUCAGGUCUACCUUACUACUUUCGAGCAAGACCGCGAGAGAGUGAGAAAUGACAGCUGGUAUUCCUUACACUCAUCUGUACAGAGUUUUACGGCCAGACGAAAAUCCAGCAAUUGGAAUAACUGCAAAAGCGCCAUAUAGUCAGCUCAGUGUCUCUGAUCACGUGGGUUGUGGUGCAUAUAGCACGAAAUACAUAUCAACAUGCGCAACCGAAAGUUCUGCGCGGGACUUUGCUAAUCUUGGAAUCAUGCAUCAUGAUCAGGAAAGCCCGAAGAAAAUUAUAACCAUCGAUGUUGCAAAACUGAAGUCAGCAAGUCCGGGAGUUAGGCUGAUAGACCUGACAAACAUACAUGUGCUAAACUUGUACAUUCCAGAUGAUUCAAAAGCCAGAAUGUGGGCUUUAAAGCGAGAUGAGGUUCUUAUAGAAGGCGAGAUACCCAGUUCUGCCAUUGUAAAUGUUGAACAAGUAGGAACAUACGACUUUGACUUUUUGUUUUAGACGUCCUUCAACUUUCCUGGAAAGUGACUUUUCAUAUUAGAUAUUUGUCCAUGGUCCAUGUAAUAAAUUGUUGUACUAGGAAAUGUAUCACAUUUACAAAUACCGAACAAUUGGACCACUAUUUUUGGAUGAAGAUUGAUUCAAUACUUAUUUAGAAAUUCAAGGUGCAUAUAUAUAUUUUUAAAGUAAAUUUCAACAAGUUCAAAAAUAUGCUUUUUUAUUUUUUAGUCAAUUUGAAUCCUUGUAACAAUGAGUUGUUCUGUUGCAACUAACAUUUUUCUGUAGAUCACAAUAUAUGCGUCAAAAUGUUUCUUAAUGAGUUACAUUUUUAAUUGAA